UUAGGGGGAAAAGCAGGGAGGGAAGUAGCAGGUCUUCAGCAGGUUUUAACCAUCUUUUUAUUGAGCAGGAACCCCUGAGGAUAAUCUGAUUGAGGGAGAAACUGAACUGGACGAGGUGUGGAGUUAGAAGCUUUCUGAAGAAAGAGCACUGUGAACUGCCUGCAGAAAGGUUGGCAAAGAGAAAACGUGUUGGCACUUUUCAGACUUGGGAAAUAUAGUUAUGCUGAGUUUGAGAAUAAAGACAUCAGAUCUGCAGCCUGAGAAAGUCAAGGGAAGAAAACAGUGACAACAUCUUGGAGUAGAACUCAACUGAUGUCCCUGCUGUUUCCAGCUUCAGGGCAAGUGAUAAGAGGAAGCAGGGGGGCUGGCAAAAGCAUGAUGCUGGACUCAUGAUAGCACAGCAUGAUCAGGGCUGUGGAAAAGGCAAAGCAGCCUCUCUUCAGGGCUGAACUGCCAUUCACCCCAGUUCUCCGGAAGGAGCUUGGCAGGUGUUCACUUUUCUGUCCUUCUCUUUUUUGUCCAAGGGCUGCUGACCCCACCAUGAGCACAGCCAGCUCCCUUCACACCUCCUCCACCUCCUGAGAAACUAAAGGAAUUUAUUGCUGUGAAAACCUGCUAAACUGAAUGCAAAAAUAAACCUAGCCAACCCUACUGAUGUUCCUUUCAGACGUGGUUGAUUGCCAGAGUCUGCUGUUGUGGGAGCAACACACUAGUGCUCACUGUCAUCAGACGAUGAAGAAUAGCUGGGUCCUUGGGAACAUGAACCAUCCCAUGAAACAAUUCCAGCAGUUCUGGCUUUAUUAGCUUUCACCAAAGGGAUUUCUCCAUCUGCACAGACUACUACAGGCCAUAGAGUUUCAUGUGGUGUUACAAGGAAAGAAGCCAUGCACCCAGCCAAACACCCCCCCCAUCUGCACCCUGUCUCUUCUUGCACUCAAAAUCUUGCUCAUGGACAAAAAGUGUGAUCAUCAAGUAAAGCAAAUAAUUUGUUGUUAGUGUAA